GUGCUCGCUUUGGCAGCACCUAGACUAAAAUUGGAACGACACAGAGAAGACUAGCGUGGCCCCUGAGCAAGGAUGAUGCGCAAAUUCGUGAAGCGUUUCAUGUUGGU